GCUACCACGCGAGUGGAUGCCAAUCCCCAAAACCUCUCUCAGUUCGGACUGGAGUCUGCAACCCGACUCCACGAAGCUGGAUUCGCUAGUAAUCGCGCAUCAGCCACGGCGCGGUGAAUACGUUCCCGGGCCUUGUACACACCGCCCGUCAAGCCAUGGGAGCCGGGGGUACCUGAAGUGCGUAACCGCGAGGAGCGCCCUAGGGUAAAACUGGUGACUGGGGCUAAGUCGUAACAAGGUACC
rnacentral:rRNA from 1 species